UACAGAGGUGGCAAGCGUUGUUCGGAAUUACUGGGCGUAAAGGGCGCGUAGGCGGCCUUCUAAGUCAGACGUGAAAUCCCCCGGCUUAACCUGGGAACUGCGUCUGAUACUGGAGGGCUUGAGUAUGGGAGAGGGAUGUAGAAUUCCAGGUGUAGCGGUGAAAUGCGUAGAUAUCUGGAGGAAUACCGGCGGCGAAGGCGGCAUCCUGGACCAUUACUGACGCUGAGGCGCGAAAGCUAGGGGAGCAAACGGG
rnacentral:rRNA from 1 species